rnacentral:rRNA from 1 species
AACGAACGCUGGCGGCAGGCUUAACACAUGCAAGUCGAGCGCCCCGCAAGGGGAGCGGCAGACGGGUGAGUAACGCGUGGGAAUCUACCCAUCUCUACGGAAUAACGCAUGGAAACGUGUGCUAAUACCGUAUACGUCCUUCGGGAGAAAGAUUUAUCGGAGAUGGAUGAGCCCGCGUUGGAUUAGCUAGUUGGUGGGGUAAAGGCCUACCAAGGCGACGAUCCAUAGCUGGUCUGAGAGGAUGAUCAGCCACACUGGGACUGAGACACGGCCCAGACUCCUACGGGAGGCAGCAGUGGGGAAUAUUGGACAAUGGGCGCAAGCCUGAUCCAGCCAUGCCGCGUGAGUGAUGAAGGCCCUAGGGUUGUAAAGCUCUUUCACCGGUGAAGAUAAUGACGGUAACCGGAGAAGAAGCCCCGGCUAACUUCGUGCCAGCCGCCGCGGUAAUAC